UUUUUCUGGAUAUCUCUUCUUAGUGGUAUUUUCCCCUGUGAGUCUAACUCUUUGAAGAUAGUGUCUCAAGUUCUCAUCUAUUUGUGACAACACAAAUCCAAUAUGCCAUAAACAUGUUGAAAUGUUCUGGCCUUUACAGUUUUACCAGCCUGAGAUCUUUUUGGUCAGCAGAAUGAGAGACUUGAAGUGAAACUGAAUAAACUCCGCUAGCUGUAAUUGGCUUCAUGGAAAUGAAGCUGAAUUUCCUUGGAGCUACUCAAAACUAUCAUUGUGCUUCACUGUCUUUUCUCUACUGUAUUGCUCCCAUACCAGUUCUGUUUUCAAGGUCACUAUGGCAUUUUUAGAGCUGUCACUCAAAGAAAUAACACAAAUGCUGUGGUUAUGGUGGCCACAGUAGCAAUUUCAGUUUUUUAAAGAAGAAAAUAAGCAGAAAGUCCAAUUGGUCUACAGCCUAUUUAUCUUGUUAUCUUCAGAUGAUGCCUGAGUGACAUUUCCUGGAACUGAUGCAUAUAUCUAUAUAUGGGCUGAAUCCAAGACAGAAUUUGUCUUUCUUGUAAGAGAGCAAACAGCUAAGCAUUACACUUGUUUGAUUGGCUAUCAUUCACACCAAAUUAAGAGUUGGAAAUUUCUCAAGGGGUAACUUUUAAAAUGUAAAGUAUUUUGAAGAAUAAAAUAAGUUGGUUUUGUCUUUCAUUCACUUUCUGAAAUCUUGUGAAUUAAGUUGCUUAUAUGCCAUUCCUUGCCAUUCAUGAAGUUUCAUUAAUUAAGGAUUUCUCAGUUUGGCUUUACAUGGUAGAGAGUUUCUACUUGUGUUGUAGUUAGUCAUAUGUAAAUUUGAAUAUUGUUAAUAAGUCUAUAUUUCUUCCCAAAGCUUGUUCAAGACUGCACUAAAGCAAGUUAUUCUAGAGCAGAAUAAUGAAGAAAUGUGCAUGCAACAAAUACUAUCAUGGCACUAUUUCAUAAUUCCUUUAUGCUGUUGUGCAUGACUUAAUGAAGUGUGGAGAAAGAGUGUAUCGUUAAUGAAAUGUACCUGUAAAAUGGGGAUAAUCAUUCUCACUUUUUCUAAAAAAUAUUAAUAGCUGUUAAAAAAAUGCACUCUGGUUUUAUAAUUAUUAGUGUUAGAAGAUGUGGAAAAUGAAAAGAUUUAUUUAAGGCUUUUAAAUGGAUAUGUGGAUGAUGGAACAAAUAUAUUUUAGGGCUGUCUGAGUCAAGUUUGAACAUUAAUUAACGGGAUUAGAAUCUGAUUUAAUUAAAUUAUCUGUAUGAAAGUUAAAAAUUCUUUUGGAUGAAGAAUACUCUAUUCCUUUAUUUUUAGUGAUUUUAUUUACUAAGCAGAA